CUCUGACCGGUACAGAGAUGUACCUUUCCUUCGGGACAGAGGAGACAGGUGGUGCAUGGUUGUCGUCAGCUCGUGUCGUGAGAUGUUGGGUUAAGUCCCGCAACGAGCGCAACCCUUAUAUUUAGUUGCCAGCACUUCGGGUGGGCACUCUAGAUAGACUGCCGGUGACAAACCGGAGGAAGGUGGGGAUGACGUCAAAUCAUCAUGCCCCUUAUGACCUGGGCUACACACGUACUACAAUGGCCGGUACAACGGGCUGCGAAAUCGCGAGAUGGAGCCAAUCCCAACAAAGCCGGUCUCAGUUCGGAUUGCAGGCUGCAACUCGCCUGCAUGAAGUCGGAAUUGCUAGUAAUCGCGGAUCAGCAUGCCGCGGUGAAUACGUUCCCGGGUCUUG
rnacentral:rRNA from 1 species